rnacentral:rRNA from 1 species
AGUUGGUGGAGUGAUCUGUCUGGUUAAUUCCGAUAACGAACGAGACCUUAACCUGCUAAAUAGUAUGGCAAAAAUUUAUUUUUGUACAAACUUCUUAGAGGGACUAACCUUGUUUAAAGGUUGGAAGUUUGAGGCAAUAACAGG